UAUAAAAUGUGUUGGAAAUAUCUCGUAGGUGAUAAAUAAUUAUAUUGUGUAUUUUGAUGGGUGUUAACCCUUAGAAAACUUACAUUGAGUCAGGGGGUUGCCUAAGAACAGAGAAAAUAUUGCAGAGGUGGAGAGAUGGGAUCCUCUGUGGCUGAUGUGAAUAUUUCAUGAAUGACUGGUAUUGACUAAGGCACUUUGUUAAAUUUGUGUUGCUGCAUUUAAAGUUGUUAGGCUUUGAUCUGUUUCAACAGUUUUGCUAACACUUUGCACUAAAUACUUUGCAAAUCAUAAGUUUUUAAGGGGACUAGAGAAUAAUUUGUACCUUUUUUAACUGUGUGGGAUUUUCUAAACUGUUACCCAUAUUACAGUAAUUAUUUUGAAAGCUCUCUGAUAUGACUGUUUCUCAUUAUAAUGGUUUGGUUAAUCAAUUGCAUAUAAAAAUAUCCCAACAAACAACUGUAACAAAUCAGAACCACUUUUCCAAGAUGUCUAUAUAACUUUGCAUUUUGGCUGCAUUUUGCACUGGUCAGAUUUCCAGUUGUGAUGCUGCUUUCCAGUUGUCAUUUUCCUAGGUAAGUCUCUUCAUGAGGGACAUUUUAAAGCCUGAGCACAAGGGAGUAGCCAAUUUUAUCAGGGAGGGUACAAGGGAAAAAUCAAGGUAAAACUGAAAUGAGCUAGAAAACCCCUACAAAUCUUACACUGUAUAUUUUAACAGUCAAAAAUGGCUUAUAUAAAAAGGAGAUUUGUAAUAGAGAUAGUUCCACUGCCCUCGAUGUUUUAAUAUGAAAAAAUACAACUCUAACGUCAUGUGCAGCCCCCAGUCAGUAGAUUUUGUGUUUCCCUCUGGGCUUUCGGUAGUCAUUGAAGAGAAGCAGUAGUUGGAGAGAAGGCAAUUGGAAGGAAGACGAGGGGAGGUAAACUGUGCCCACAGGCAUAUGAGUGAGGACAGAGCUCACAUGGAGACCUAGAUCUGAGAAUUACUCCCAUUUGGUCCUCUGUCUCUGAGCCUGUGACUCCUUCAGCUCCUGCUGGAUCUGGGUCUUAACCUGCAAUUUCUGAUUCCUGAAGUACUCUUUGUUUCUUUUCUAAGCAGUUCUGUGGCUUCCAUUGAAACCAGUGGGUAAACUGCCUCCCUCCUACUCAUUUCCUGUCUGCAGCAAUUUCCUCUGUCCUUCUGUUUGUUAGACUUUUAUGGUGACUGCAUUUUUUCCCCUUCAUGCUUACUUAAGUGGGAAAAAUCCCAAAUAAUCAUCUGUACUCAAUUUUCUUCAGCCGUUUAACUAUUUCUAUCCUUGAUGUUGCUUUGCACAUCUUUCUUGGCAGCUUUUCAGCCAAAUCCUUGUUCUAGCAGUGCCUGGGCUUAGGACAGCAUCCAAGUUUGUGAUGGGAUUUAAAAACCACAUGGAACAUCCUAUAGUUCACCUGGUCUGACACCAUAUCACGUCAAGACGCUCAAAGAAAUACACUUGACUAGCCAUUUGCCACAGGACAUUGAACCAAGUUCAGAGAUAUUUCCUCAUAUAAAUCUGGUGGCUUAGUUCAGCCCUUAAUGGGAAUCGAUGGACAUCUGCAGAGAACAUCUUUCUUCACUGAGGUGGAACCAGCCCAGAAGGAGUGAUAGCAUUUUGAUGGAAAGCUGAGAUGCUGUGAUGGAUGCAAUAGCUGCUGCAAAUUGCCAGGGUGCUGCUCCCUCCUCCUCAGCCCCUCACACACCUCUCAGUGAUCGCAGGAACAGAGUUCAGCUGCAGAAGUGUUACUGCCAGUGACACGGGCUUUCUCCACCUUCUUUGUACGUGGUGGUUUUGGCUUUGCCACUUACUGGAAACUGUGCACGGUAAUGAAACUGAAUAUACCCUAGAGAAGCCUUUGCCAAAUGAAGGUUUUCACCCAUAGGUUUGUUCUCAACAAAGGAGGGGCUGGCAUCACAGAGCCAGUCAGCCGGGAGGACAACGUCUGGCUAGCAUCUGCCUCAUGGCCACAGAAAACCUACAAGCGAUCCACAGAAUUGCCAGCACCUGCCUAGCAGCAUAAGGAGAGGUGUCAUACAGGAGUCACUCUCCUAGAAGAGGAGUGAAGGAAUGACUGUGGGUGGUAGCUUGCCACCAGCUAUGGAUCCUUUAGGAAGCUUUGGAUAAAGGGUGGUGAACCACAGCUGCUGUCCCUGGAUUGUACUGUGUUAUACUGCUGCCUCUCAUGAACGUCUAAUAGCAAGACAGAAAUGAAUAUGGCUGGGAUUUUCUCCCUGAAUCUAAAUGGCAUGUGCAUGGAAGCAUAAUUUUGCUCAAGCCGGUAUAGUUUUUAGCCCCAUUUGUGUGACUUUUACUUUAUCAGCUCACUGUAACAAAUUUCUUGUGCUGUAUUAAGAGCACAGAAUCUUGUUAAGAUAUGGUUCAUUUAUAUGAUAUUCACUUUGCCUUCUUACUUUGUAUUGCUGCCUCUGGGUAUCCUAGAGUUGAUUUCUUCUUGUAAUGAUGAAGAGAGACACUGCAUAGGGAAGUAAACACGUCUGAACUGGUGUGCAGACACAAUCCAGAACCGGCCAUGCCUGACAAGAGUGCCUGAGGAAAUGCCUGGGCACAGUGAGGUGGCCAAGGGUGGGAAGGGUCAUCUCAGCAGGCAGCACUGGGGUAAAUCCCAUGCACAGUGCAGUGAGGCUUUUAUACUAACCAGUAAAACACUGUGAUAAUACAGAGGGAAAUGAGUCCAAAAGAAGUGAGGCAUGAUAAUCCAAAUUUCCUGUCUGUGCUCAGUGGAGGACCUUUAACAUUGUGUUCCAGCUCACUAACAAAUGCUGUUUCUGCACUACUUAAAUGACGGGUGACAGCAGCGCUCCUUAAAGAGCUCACCUCUCCCUGGAGAUCUGUGGAACCAGAGCCAGGAGGCACCGUUUUGCAUGGGCAGGCUGUGCAAAAACUUCAUCUGGAGGCUUCCAGAUACAAUGGACACUUUCAGAGAGAAACAUAAUGUUUACAUCUCAUCUCAUAAUGCCCCCUGAUAAACCACCAUCCACCUCUUCCAGCUACAUGGUGGCACCAAGUUGGCUUGGGGCUGGAUUUUCCCGCUGGAUGUGUGGUGUGUUCCACUAGUCAGCAGCUCUCCCUGUACAAGUGAGCCGAGAGCAGAUGUCUCUCUGCUGCGUGUCACCACACACCCCGCAUCUGCAGCAAGAACCUAUCCCGUUACCUUGAUAACAUCUGCGAGCGGAUGCAUGACCUGGGAUGGACUUACCCCAAAUGCUGCUCCUGGGCAACAUUUCUCACUCAGUCUGUUCUCACCAAUGCAUUAUUUUAGACUGGAUAUUAGGAAAAAUUUCUUCACCAAAAGGGUGGUCAGUUAUU